AGUGAACGCUGGCGGUAGGCCUAACACAUGCAAGUCGAACGGCAGCACAGUAAGAGCUUGCUCUUACGGGUGGCGAGUGGCGGACGGGUGAGGAAUACAUCGGAAUCUACUUUUUCGUGGGGGAUAACGUAGGGAAACUUACGCUAAUACCGCAUACGACCUACGGGUGAAAGCAGGGGAUCUUCGGACCUUGCGCGAUUGAAUGAGCUGAUGUCGGAUUAGCUAGUUGGCGGGGUAAAGGCCCACCAAGGCGACGAUCCGUAGCUGGUCUGAGAGGAUGAUCAGCCACACUGGAACUGAGACACGGUCCAGACUCCUACGGGAGGCAGCAGUGGGGAAUAUUGGACAAUGGGCGCAAGCCUGAUCCAGCCAUACCGCGUAGGUGAAGAAGGCCUUCGGGUUGUAAAGCCCUUUUGUUGGGAAAGAAAAGCAGCAGGUUAAUACCCCGCUGUUCUGACGGUACCCAAAGAAUAAGCACCGGCUAACUUCGUG
rnacentral:rRNA from 1 species